UACGUAGGGUGCGAGCGUUAAUCGGAAUUACUGGGCGUAAAGCGUGCGCAGGCGGUUUUGUAAGCCAGAUGGUAAAUCCCCGGGCUUAACCUGGGAAUGGCAUUUGGGACUGCAAGGCUUGAGUGCGGCAGAGGAGACUGGAAUUCCUGGUGUAGCAGUGAAAUGCGUAGAUAUCGUUUGGAACGCCAAUGGUGAAAACAGGUUGCUGGGGGUGUGCUGACGCUGAGACACGAAAGCCAGGGGAGCGAACGGG
rnacentral:rRNA from 1 species